CUCACCCCGAGAUUCCGGCCGCGCUGCUCCUCCUCUCCUCGAAUCGAAACCAAAACCAUCCCCAGGAUCUGGCCGCGGACUUUCAGCCCGGGAUCCAAGGGCGGAGCCGCGAUCUCAGGCCUCCAAGGACAGGCACCAGGAGCCACCGUGGCACCGGCUCGUUGGUCUAGGGACACCAGCUAGUUUUCGGUUUGAAGACUCCGGAACUCUGCGGAAUCCCGAGCGACUGAAUCGUGGUUCCCGCCGGCCGCGAUCCGAUCGUCCGCACUCGGUUCCGUUCUGCCAAGUGGCCGUCACUGCGCUGGGGUCGCACGCAGGGGCGGCGGCCUCCUCGAGCUCUGGGUCUGGCGCUGGGGGAGGAGACCGAGAUGGGUCAGCCUCGGCUCUCGGGAGACCAGCUCCGUGUGCCAGACGGUCACUGGACUGGGUGAUGGUGUGACUUGGGGCGUGUGUUUAUACUUUGGGUAAUAAACUCAAAUUUUAUGACCCAAGUAAAG
ensembl:lncRNA